rnacentral:rRNA from 1 species
CCUACGGGAGGCAGCAGUGGGGAAUUUUGGACAAUGGGGGCAACCCUGAUCCAGCCAUGCCGCGUGUGUGAAGAAGGCCUUCGGGUUGUAAAGCACUUUCGGACGGAACGAAAUCGCGCGGGUGAAUAUCCCGCGUGGAUGACGGUACUGUAUGAAGAAGCACCGGCUAACUACGUGCCAGCAGCCGCGGUAAUACGUAGGGUGCGAGCGUUAAUCGGAAUUACUGGGCGUAAAGCGUGCGCAGGCGGCUUCGCAAGUCAGACGUGAAAUCCCCGGGCUUAACCUGGGAAUGGCGUUUGAAACUACGGAGCUGGAGUGUGGCAGAGGGAGGUAGAAUUCCACGUGUAGCGGUGAAAUGCGUAGAUAUGUGGAGGAAUACCGAUGGCGAAGGCAGCCUCCUGGGCCAACACUGACGCUCAUGCACGAAAGCGUGGGGAGCAAACGAGGUAUUAGACUACCCGUGGUACGUCCACGCCCUAAACUAUGUACAACUAGUUGUUGGGGUAGUUAACUCCCUUAGUAACGCAGCUACGCGUGAGUAGACCGCCGUGGGAGGUACGGUCGCGAGAGUAAACUACGAAGAAGUUAGACGGCGUGAGACGUGCCGACGGACGACGACGACGGGAGGUUAGG